rnacentral:lncRNA from 13 species
CUUCUGUUAAUAAUACAACUGUUGGUUUUACAAUUCCAGCUCCUGUUUCUGCUGGGAGGACAAUUUGGAGUUAAUUGGAAAAUGAGAUUGUGAGAACCAUUACUGGGAGUACAGAAAGAAAAGGCAGACAUGUUUGCAUGCAAGUGGUUUAUUUGGAAAAGUUCUCAGGAAUGAUAUUUGUGGGGAAUUGAAGAUAGCAGGACAGAUAGAAAGAGGAGCUGAACAUUUCCCGUGCAACCAAUCCCACUGCAAGUUCUCCAGCAGAAUGACCUUUCAAAGAUGGCAACAACUAAGCUACCAGAUCUGAUGGUUUCAUAGGGGCAUUCCCCAUUUGCUGGGCACUCACUUCACUCUCCUGCUGCCAUGUGAAGAAGGAUGUGUUUGCUUUCCCUUCCACCAUGAUUGUAAGUUUCCUGAGGCCUCACCACCAAUGAAAAACUGAGUGAAUUUUUUUACAUAAAUUAUUCUGUCUCAGGUGUAUCUUUACUAGCAAUGUGAGAAAGGACUAAUAUACCUGUGAUCACAAAUGAUUUUCUAUUAUGUUUUCUUAGAGCUUUUUCAAGUUUUAACAUUUUUAUUUAGGUAUAUGAUCAUUC